rnacentral:rRNA from 1 species
CAGCCGUAAACUAUGCUCGCUAGGUGUCAGGCAUGGCGCGACCGUGUCUGGUGCCGCAGGGAAGCCGUGAAGCGAGCCACCUGGGAAGUACGGCCGCAAGGCUGAAACUUAAGGAUUGGCGGGGGAGCACAACAACGGGUGGAGCCUGCGGUUUAAUUGGACUUCAACGCCGGACAACUCACCGGGAACGACAGCAAUAUGUAGGCCAGGCUGAAGACCUUGCCUGAAUCGCUGAGAGGAGGUGCAUGGCGUAGACGUCU